rnacentral:miRNA from 1 species
UGAAAAAUGGAUAAUGAGUAAUC